GACGAGCGCUGGCGGCGUGCUUAACACAUGCAAGUCGAACGGAAAGGCCCUGCUUUUGUGGGGUGCUCGAGUGGCGAACGGGUGAGUAACACGUGAGUAACCUGCCCUUGACUUUGGGAUAACUUCAGGAAACUGGGGCUAAUACCGGAUAGGAGCUCCUGCUGCAUGGUGGGGGUUGGAAAGUUUCGGCGGUUGGGGAUGGACUCGCGGCUUAUCAGCUUGUUGGUGGGGUAGUGGCUUACCAAGGCUUUGACGGGUAGCCGGCCUGAGAGGGUGACCGGCCACAUUGGGACUGAGAUACGGCCCAGACUCCUACGGGAGGCAGCAGUGGGGAAUAUUGCACAAUGGGCGGAAGCCUGAUGCAGCAACGCCGCGUGCGGGAUGACGGCCUUCGGGUCGUAAACCGCUUUCGCCUGUGACGAAGCGUGAGUGACGGUAAUGGGUAAAGAAGCACCGGCUAACUACGUG
rnacentral:rRNA from 1 species